rnacentral:rRNA from 1 species
CCUACGGGACGCAGCAGUGGGGAAUAUUGCACAAUGGGCGCAAGCCUGAUGCAGCCAUGCCGCAUGUAUGAAGAAGGCCUUCGGGUUGUAAAGUACUUUCAGCGGGGAGGAAGGUGUUGUGGUUAAUAACCGCAGCAAUUGACGUUACCCGCAGAAGAAGCACCGGCUAACUCCGUGCCAGCAGCCGCGGUAAUACGGAGGGUGCAAGCGUUAAUCGGAAUUACUGGGCGUAAAGCGCACGCAGGCGGUCUGUCAAGUCGGAUGUGAAAUCCCCGGGCUCAACCUGGGAACUGCAUUCGAAACUGGCAGGCUAGAGUCUUGUAGAGGGGGGUAGAAUUCCAGGUGUGGCGGUGAAUUGCGUAGAGAUCUGGAGGAAUACCGGUGGCGAAGGCGGCCCCCUGGACAAAGACUGACGCUCAGGUGCGAAAGCGUGGGGAGCAAACAGGAUUAGAUACCCCAAUAGUC